CUGCAGGGAAUGAUUAUACUCACCAGAACAACUACAUUAAGCUGUAAAUGUUCUGGUGACUAUAGUGUCCCUUUAAUGCAAAGUUGUAAUUGUUAUAAGGCCAUGUUAAAAAGCUAAAAUGCAGAUUGUCUAAGUGGGAUAUUUAUGUACGUUUAUCACAAAUACAAGAGUUAAUACACAUGUUGAUAGAACUAAUUAACGCAUUCACCACCGAGCUCUUUUU